UGUAAAGCUGCAGGUGCCUAAUACAUGCAAGUCGAGGGGGAAGGGGAUUGAUGGGCGGCGGGGGAGUUAGGACGGCAACCUGGUUCAGACCGGGAUAACAUAGGGAAACUUAUGCUAAUACCGGAUAGGUAAAAGGAAUGCAUGAUCCGAAAAGAAAAGAUGGCUUCGGCUAUCACUGGGAGAUGGGCCUGCGGCGCAUUAGCUAGUUGGUGGGGUAACGGCCUACCAAGGCGACGAUGCGUAGCCGACCUGAGAGGGUGACCGGCCACACUGGGACUGAGACACGGCCCAGACUCCUACGGGAGGCAGCAGUAGGGAAUUUCCACAAUGGACGAAAGUCUGAUGGAGCAACGCCGCGUGAACGAUGAAGGUCUUCGGAUUGUAAAGUUCUGUUGUCAGGGACCAACACGUGCCGUUCGAAUAGGGCGGUACCUUGACGGUACCUGACGAGAAAGCCACGGCUAACUACGUGCCAGCAGCCGCGGUAAUACGUAGGUGGCAAGCGUUGUCCGGAUUUAUUGGGCGUAAAGCGCGCGCAGGCGGCUAUGUAAGUCUGGUGUUAAAGCCCGGAGCUCAACUCCGGUUCGCAUCGGAAACUGUGUAGCUUGAGUGCAGAAGAGGAAAGCGGUAUUCCACGUGUAGCGGUGAAAUGCGUAGAGAUGUGGAGGAACACCAGUGGCGAAGGCGGCUUUUUGGUCGGAAACUGACGCUGAGGCGGAAAGGAUGGGGAGCAAACAGGAUUAAACCCCUGGUAGUCCAGCCGUAAACGAUAGUGCUAUGUGUUGGGGGUUCAAUACCCUCAGUGCCGAGCUAACGCAAUAGGAUCCGGCUGGGGACACGCUUGCAGAGUGAGUUUGGUGUAUUACGAGGCGCAGAACGGAUAGCAUGUGCUUUAAUUGGAUCGAACGUAGACCUUACAAUGUCUUGCCUCCACCUCGCGCUGCGGAGGCUUAGUUUCCCUCGGGACAACGGGCCAGCUAGUGCAUCGUUGUCGCAACGGGGGUCGUUCCAUCGGGGAGAAUGGAAGAGCGAGUGUGCCCCUACUUUGAGGUGGCUGCUUUCAGUUGGGCCCUCGGGCGUGCCUGCCGUCGACAAGACGGAGGAAGGCGCGGAUGACGUCAAAUCAUCAUGCCCCUUAUGACCUGGGCUACACACGUGCUCCAAUGGUUGGUACAACGGGAUGCUACCUCGCGAGGGGACGCCAAUCUCUGAAAACCAAUCUCAGUUCGGAUUGUAGGCUGCAACUCGCCUACAUGAAGUCGGAUUCGCUUGUAAUCGCGGAUCAGCAUGCCGCGGUGAAUACGUUCCGGGGCCUUGACACCCGCCCGCCCUCCCGAGUUCGCCCCCCAAAUCCCUCUUUACCCACUUGU
rnacentral:rRNA from 1 species